GACGUAGGGCGCGAGCGUUGUCCGGAUUUAUUGGGCGUAAAGAGCUCGUAGGCGGCUUGUCGCGUCGAAUGUGAAAACUCGGGGCUCAACUCCGAGCUUGCAUUCGAUACGGGCAGGCUAGAGUUCGGUAGGGGAGACUGGAAUUCCUGGUGUAGCGGUGAAAUGCGCAGAUAUCAGGAGGAACACCGGUGGCGAAGGCAGGUCUCUGGGCCGAUACUGACGCUGAGGAGCGAAAGCGUGGGUAGCAAACAGG
rnacentral:rRNA from 1 species